CAAAUGAGGUGUCUCCGUUUCCGCUCCUCGGGUUAUAAGUCAGAUCACAUUUUUUUUCGAAAGCUCGGUUGUUGUAGUCUACUUUCUGUAUCACCAUACAGAGUUAAAUCAGAGCAUAUGCUGCCUCAGAGUUAAAAAAAUUGCUAAAGACUGGACGUACAACAGUAUAUGGGCGCCCCCUAGCGUUAGGAUUAUUUCUUGCCAAACUCGCUUUUAAGGUGGAAGAGCCAUCUUAAAUGGAAUCUACAUCGGUCGCUCGGCUCUCACUUACACCAAAGUAGCAUGCGCCUAUUUUAUUCUGAUUAAUGCUUUUGAGAUUUCCCUCUAAUUGACUUGGACGUUGCAGAUGUGCACUUUUACGUCUUUUCCACACAUUUUCUCCACAGUUUUGUUCACGCACGGGAAUAGCUCAGCGUUUCGGUUAUUUUUGGCCAGUUUUUUGAAACGAUCAAAAGUGAGCACCGUACCUCAUCUCUGACCAUUCAAAAGCCUGUAUGUGAACAAGACAGCCGAAGGUAAGGCUACCGCAGACGUAAAUUAUAGCGUAAGAUGCAAAGUGGAUUUUACCCCCAAGAUCAAGGUAGAAUACGACAUUCUGGCAGACUAGCUGUGUAUUGUCUCAGACCUCUGCAGGACUGUGACGAAGGCAGAGGACAUGGCCACUGUGGGAACUGAAGAAUACUGAGUGGUGACGUUGACAUCAACACCAAAUGCCUGAUGGGACGAGAAACUUCAUGCAAAGAUCCCAAAAUGACAAAGCAGGGAAGGUUGGCCUUAAUGUAUGCCUUUGACCUACUGGAGCAACUAACCUGUAAUGGAUUUUUUUUAUAGGCAAAAGACUACAAACUGCUUGAAAUCAACUACAUACAUAUUGUAAUUCUGCAAAUAAUGUUAUGAUGUAUGAUUAAAUAAUGCAACCAAACAAGACAUAGCACUGUAUCUUUCUAGAGAAUGAUGCAAUGAAAGAAAAUCUUUUCUUGAUGACAAUAGUUGAAAUGUUUAAUUUUCAACCGUACAAUUCUGCCAAAAGCAAGUUAAUAAACAUGGCUCCUGUAUGCA